ensembl:lncRNA
CAAGUUCAAUAGUGUGUUCUAUAGAUGUACAAACUGUCUGGCUAAUUCUGUUCUGUAUAGUCGUGAUCACAAACAGGGGUUUAUCUUGUACUGUAUAUCUACUCACUGGACAAUCAUAGGUUAUAAGAGACUGUAAAGAAAAUUAUCUAGAAUCUGCUGGGAGGGAGAAAUCUGAACACUUUCGGUGCUGGGUCCUAGUCCUGGUGGAGCUGUGGAAGUGAGAGAAAUAUUUUCCAGGAGAAACUGCUGAUUAUGUUUAAAGUGCAUAUGUGUACACGCCAGUUUCAAUACAAUGUACAAAUAAAGAGUAAGCAAGGAAAAACAUGAAUUCGUAAAUACAAAAAACUAGUUUGGAUUUGAUCAGAGUGUCACCAUCUACUUUUGACUAAUAGCUAAAUAUUUUGUUUCCCACUAAUAUUAUUACUGAAUAACUGAAAUAAAGAAAUAAAAUCAUUUGUAGGGCUGUAACAGUAUUAAAUGAAAAAUGCAACGCGACUGUGAAUUGCCAUGUGAAAUUCUCCAAACACUCAGUAUUUGAUCAGUUAAGUAUUUGGCCUUUAGUUUAGUUUGUGAUUUUUCCGUACUGUACCUGGCACUGAUGCCUUAAAGGUAUUCCAAGACUGUUUCUUUUAUUUGUAAGGAGUGGACAGAGGGGUUGACACAUUUUGUAAGAAAGAGAAACUCUUGAGGUUGCCAUGCAGACUCUAGUUUAACACUCUUUUCGCCCUCUAAAACCUCAGCAGCUUGGGAAUACAACAAAACAAGAAUCUGUAACCUUUAUGGAUUUUUUUUUUCAAUCUGUUUCCAAUAUCUGCACGCAAGGGGAAGUUUGAUGACAACCACUUGAUAUUUUUAUUCAGAAGUGUACAGUAUGGAAUAACACUAAACAGACUUUUAAAAAAAAGUGACAUAGAGGAGAAAAAAUAAACACUGAAAACAAACUGUAAGUAUUUAAAAGAUGCUCCAUGCUUAAAACUAGCUAGGACUUAUCAGAUUUGAAUCACUUUUGUAUUUUUGUAUAAAAAUGUAAAUACGUUUUUAAAGGAAAAAAAAUGUUGCAAAUUCUUUCUUUUGUAAAAUAAACAAAUAAAAAAAUUAAAAACAAAGAAAGUUUUUUUUUUUCAAAGUUUACAUGAUUAUUUCCAAGCCUUUGUAUAUUAUGGAGCUGUGCAACACCUUCAGUCUUGUAUUUAUUUUGGGGGGACAACAUUGUGAAAAUUCCAUUACUCUAUAUCUAAUUCAUUUUAACAGCUCAUCGGGCUGCUUAGUAACUGUGCGUAGAAAAAAAGCCAAUAAAUGUGAUUGCAAUGAAAUGAAAGGCCUAUUGUGUGACACUUCAUUUCAGCCCCGUCAGAUCCAAAAGCACUGAGAGACUCUUCCCACUAGAUGGUAGUGUUUUAACGUUCAGGCUCCUAGCUGCUAUUCAGAUUUUUCAUGAGAAGGACCCAGCAUUAACUAACUUUCCUUCACUAUGGUUGGACCUCAUGCUUGAAUCCAGUCAUACUAAAUUAGGUACUGAUACUUAGACAGUCUUCAUUUUAAAAUGUAAGGAGUAAAAAAAAGAAAAGAGAAAAGAAAGAAAAGAAACAUUGCCAUAUCUGUUCUGACCAGUAAACCUGACCACACUUUCCAUACAACAGACCUUGAAUAUUUAGUUACUAACCCAAUGCAAUAAACCGGCAGUCUCAGUCUCGA